rnacentral:rRNA from 1 species
AUUGAACGCUGGCGGCGUGCUUAACACAUGCAAGUCGAUCGGUAACGCGGGGGCAACCCUGACGACGAGAGGCGGACGGGUGAGGAACGCUUGGGAAUCUGCCUAUCAGCGGGGGACAACCCGGGGAAACUCGGGCUAAUACCGCAUACGCUCUACGGAGGAAAGCCGGGGACCGCAAGGCCUGGCACUGAUAGAUGAGCCCAAGUCGGAUUAGCUAGUUGGCGGGGUAACGGCCCACCAAGGCGACGAUCCGUAGCUGGUCUGAGAGGACGAUCAGCCACACUGGGACUGAGACACGGCCCAGACUCCUACGGGAGGCAGCAGUGGGGAAUAUUGGACAAUGGGGGAAACCCUGAUCCAGCGACGCCGCGUGGGUGAAGAAGGCCUGCGGGUUGUAAAGCCCUUUCGGUAGGGACGAAAGCUCUCGACCUAACACGUCGGGAGGUUGACUUAACCUACAAAAGAAGCACCGGCUAACUCUGUGCCAGCCGCCGCUGUAAGAC